CCCCGGGAGGGGAGUGAAAUAGAACCUGAAACCGUGUGCCUACAACAAGUUCGAGCCCGUUAAUGGGUGAGAGCGUGCCUUUUGUAGAAUGAACCGGCGAGUUACGUUAUGAUGCGAGGUUAAGUUGAAGAGACGGAGCCGUAGGGAAACCGAGUCUGAAUAGGGCGCCUUAGUAUCAUGACGUAGACCCGAAACCAUGUGACCUACCCAUGAGCAGGUUGAAGGUGCGGUAAGACGCACUGGAGGACCGAACCAGGGCACGUUGAAAAGUGCUUGGAUGACUUGUGGGUAGCGGAGAAAUUCCAAACGAACUUGGAGAUAGCUGGUUCUCUCCGAAAUAGCUUUAGGGCUAGCGUCGACAUUAGAGAUUCUUGGAGGUAGAGCACUGUUUGGGUGAGGGGUCCAUCCCGGAUUACCAAUCUCAGAUAAACUCCGAAUGCCAAUGAAUUAUGGUCGGCAGUCAGACUGCGAGUGCUAAGAUCCGUAGUCGAAAGGGAAACAGCCCAGACCACCAGCUAAGGUCCCAAAAUAAUUGUUAAGUGGAAAAGGAUGUGGGGUUGCACAGACAACUAGGAUGUUAGCUUAGAAGCAGCUAUUCAUUCAAAGAGUGCGUAAUAGCUCACUAGUCGAGUGACCCUGCGCCGAAAAUGUACCGGGGCUAAAACAAUUUACCGAAGCUGUGGAUACCUUUAUAGGUAUGGUAGGAGAGCGUUCUAUGUGUGAUGAAGGUAUACCGUGAGGAGUGCUGGAACGCAUAGAAGUGAGAAUGCCGGUAUGAGUAGCGAAAGACAGGUGAGAAUCCUGUCCACCGUAAGACUAAGGUUUCCAGGGGAAGGCUCGUCCGCCCUGGGUUAGUCGGGACCUAAGGAGAGACCGAAAGGUGUAUCCGAUGGACAACAGGUUGAUAUUCCUGUACUAGAGUAUGUAGUGAUGGAGGGACGCAGUAGGCUAACUAAAGCAGACGAUUGGAAGAGUCUGUCUAAGCAGUGAGGUGUGAAUUGAGUCAAAUGCUUAAUUCUAUAACAUUGAGCUGUGAUGGGGAGCGAAGUUUAGUAGCGAAGUUAGUGACGUCACACUGCCAAGAAAAGCUUCUAGCGUUUAAACAUACUCUACCCGUACCGCAAACCGACACAGGUAGUCGAGGCGAGUAGCCUCAGGUGAGCGAGAGAACUCUCGUUAAGGAACUCGGCAAAAUGACCCCGUAACUUCGGGAGAAGGGGUGCUGACUUAAAGUCAGCCGCAGUGAAUAGGCCCAAGCAACUGUUUAUCAAAAACACAGCUCUCUGCUAAAUCGUAAGAUGAUGUAUAGGGGGUGACGCCUGCCCGGUGCUGGAAGGUUAAGAGGAGUGCUUAGCGUAAGCGAAGGUAUGAAUUGAAGCCCCAGUAAACGGCGGCCGUAACUAUAACGGUCCUAAGGUAGCGAAAUUCCUUGUCGGGUAAGUUCCGACCCGCACGAAAGGCGUAAUGAUUUGGGCACUGUCUCAACGAGAGACUCGGUGAAAUUUUAGUACCUGUGAAGAUGCAGGUUACCCGCGACAGGACGGAAAGACCCCAUGGAGCUUUACUGCAGUUUGAUAUUGAGUGUCUGUACCACAUGUACAGGAUAGGUAGGAGUCUAAGAGAUCGGGACGCCAGUUUCGAAGGAGACGCUGUUGGGAUACUACCCUUGUGUUAUGGCCACUCUAACCCAGAUAGGUGAUCCCUAUCGGAGACAGUGUCUGACGGGCAGUUUGACUGGGGCGGUCGCCUCCUAAAAGGUAACGGAGGCGCCCAAAGGUUCCCUCAGAAUGGUUGGAAAUCAUUCGCAGAGUGUAAAGGUAUAAGGGAGCUUGACUGCGAGAGCUACAACUCGAGCAGGGACGAAAGUCGGGCUUAGUGAUCCGGUGGUUCCGUAUGGAAGGGCCAUCGCUCAACGGAUAAAAGCUACCCUGGGGAUAACAGGCUUAUCUCCCCCAAGAGUUCACAUCGACGGGGAGGUUUGGCACCUCGAUGUCGGCUCGUCGCAUCCUGGGGCUGUAGUCGGUCCCAAGGGUUGGGCUGUUCGCCCAUUAAAGCGGCACGCGAGCUGGGUUCAGAACGUCGUGAGACAGUUCGGUCCCUAUCCGUCGCGGGCGUAGGAAAUUUGAGAGGAUCUGCUCCUAGUACGAGAGGACCAGAGUGGACUUACCGCUGGUGUACCAGUUGUCUUGCCAAAGGCAUCGCUGGGUAGCUAUGUAGGGAAGGGAUAAACGCUGAAAGCAUCUAAGUGUGAAACCCACCUCAAGAUGAGAUUUCCCAUGAUUAUAUAUCAGUAAGAGCCCUGAGAGAUGAUCAGGUAGAUAGGUUAGAAGUGGAAGUGUGGCGACACAUGUAGCGGACUAAUACUAAUAGCUCGAGGACUUAUCCAA
rnacentral:rRNA from 1 species